rnacentral:lncRNA from 11 species
UGCUUAUAUCACUGUCUUUUCUUCGACAGACUGCACCUUGGAGGAUGUUACUCGCCCAUGCUCAUCUAAUUCCUCAAUGAUUGUUUUAAUCACUGUAGUUCUCUUUGUUUCUGAAACAAACAAAAGAAGAGUACAGAUGGUAUCAUUCAACACCUCCAUCCACAAUUAUCAUCAUUUACCUCCCUGUUAACUAAGGACUUUUCUUCACAGCCAUUUAGUGGCUGAAGGGCGAGGUGUGGCAAGGUAAGGCCUGCCACUUUGUUGGUUCUAGGCUCUGUUUCUGAA